GGUGUUCUGUAUCUUUGCUGAGAUUUCGUCACAAAUCAGACGAAAGGGGCUGAUGAGACUUCCCAGAUAAGUGAGGCG
rnacentral:pre_miRNA from 1 species